rfam:Cariama cristata contig110142, whole genome shotgun sequence.
CAGAGAGUAGUUUAGCGCAAAAAUGCCAGCUUUGGGAGCUGGCGAUGGGGGUUUAAGUCCCCUCUUUCUGA